UACGUAGGGGGCGAGCGUUGUCCGGAUUUAUUGGGCGUAAAGGGUGCGUAGGCGGCCUAUUAAGUCAGGGGUGAAAGACGGUAGCUUAACUAUCGCAGUGCCUUUGAUACUGAUAGGCUUGAAUGUACUUGAGGUAGGCGGAAUGUGACAAGUAGCGGUGAAAUGCAUAGAUAUGUCACAGAACACCAAUUGCGAAGGCAGCUUACUAAAGUAUGAUUGACGCUGAGGCACGAAAGCGUGGGGAUCAAACAGG
rnacentral:rRNA from 1 species